UUCCUCCCUCCAUCUUGAGUUUUCUGAGAGCAUCUUAGAUCUGAAACUCCUCCUUCUACUUUUUAUCUUUGGAAGAGUCCAAAUCAAGAAGAAGGAGGCACCUGAUCAACCAUUAAAGAAGGAUCAGCGCAGUACUAGCAUACUGUGCUGAUUUCCUGAAGCAGGACUUCUGAUCAAGAUUCGUGGGCUCGUGUGGAUGACUCCUAGAGGCCGGA
rnacentral:lncRNA from 1 species